rnacentral:rRNA from 1 species
GACGUAGGAUGCGAGCGUUGUUCGGAAUUAUUGGGCGUAAAGCGUGCGUAGGCGGUCAUUCAAGUCUGGUGUUAAAGCUAGAGGCUCAACCUCUGUGUUGCACUGGAAACUGGAUGACUUGAGUGCGAUAGGGGAAGGUAGAAUUCCGAGUGUAGCGGUGAAAUGCGUAGAUAUUCGGAAGAAUACCGGUGGCGAAGGCGACCUUCUGGGCCGCAACUGACGCUGAGGCACGAAAGCGUGGGGAGCAAACGGGG